rnacentral:rRNA from 1 species
UAUGGUAAGUGCCAGCAGCCGCGGUAAAACGUAGGUCACAAGCGUUGUCCGGAAUUACUGGGUGUAAAGGGAGCGCAGGCGGGAAGACAAGUUGGAAGUGAAAUCUAUGGGCUCAACCCAUAAACUGCUUUCAAAACUGUUUUUCUUGAGUAGUGCAGAGGUAGGCGGAAUUCCCGGUGUAGCGGUGGAAUGCGUAGAUAUCGGGAGGAACACCAGUGGCGAAGGCGGCCUACUGGGCACCAACUGACGCUGAGGCUCGAAAGUGUGGGUAGCAAACAGG